rnacentral:tRNA from 1 species
GGGGACUUAGCUCAGUGGUAGAGCGCUUGCCUACCAAGCACAAGGCCCUGGGUUCGGUUCCCAGCUCCG